UGACGAGUUUGAUCCUGGCUCAGAUUGAACGCUGGCGGCAUGCCUUACACAUGCAAGUCGAACGGCAGCACGGGUGCUUGCACCUGGUGGCGAGUGGCGAACGGGUGAGUAAUACAUCGGAACGUACCUUAUCGUGGGGGAUAACGCAGCGAAAGUUGCGCUAAUACCGCAUACGCCCUGAGGGGGAAAGCGGGGGAUCGAAAGACCUCGCGCGAUUAGAGCGGCCGAUGCCUGAUUAGCUUGUUGGUGGGGUAAAAGCCCACCAAGGCGACGAUCAGUAGCUGGUCUGAGAGGACGAUCAGCCACACUGGGGACUGAGACACGGCCCAGACUCCGUACGGGGAGGCAGCAGUGGGGAAUUUGGACAAUGGGCGCAAGCCCUGAUCCAGCAAUGCCGCGUGCAGGAUGAAGGCCUUCGGGUUGUAAACCGCUUUCAGCAAGGAAGAAGCGAAAGUGACGGUACUUGCAGAGAAGCACGGCUAACUAUGUGCCAGCAGCCGCGGU
rnacentral:rRNA from 1 species